AUUGACCUACGGGGGGCAGCAGUGAGGAAUAUUGGUCAAUGGCCGCAGGGCUGAACCAGCCAAGUCGCGUGAGGGAUGACGGUCCUAUGGAUUGUAAACCUCUUUUGUCAGGGAGCAAAGGGCGCCACGAGUGGCGCUUUGCGAGUACCUGAAGAAAAAGCAUCGGCUAACUCCGUGCCAGCAGCCGCGGUAAUACGGAGGAUGCGAGCGUUAUCCGGAAUUACUGGGUGUAAAGGGAGUGUAGGCGGGAAAGCAAGUCAG
rnacentral:rRNA from 1 species